UGGUUCAAUCAGUUAGGAG
rnacentral:misc_RNA from 1 species